rnacentral:rRNA from 2 species
UAACGACUCUCGGCAACGGAUAUCUCGGCUCUCGCAUCGAUGAAGAACGUAGCGAACUGCGAUACUUGGUGUGAAUUGCAGAAUCCCGUGAACCAUCGAGUCUUUGAACGCAAGUUGCGCCCGAAGCUUCGGCCGAGGGCACGUUUGCCUGGGUGUCA